CACUAACAGCCGGUUUCCGAAACGUUAUUCAAAUCUUCGAUCAUCUAAUCGAGCUGUUAGAUUUGAUCAACUGUUAACCAGUGACGAGUUUCUCAAACGUCGAUCAUCUUAAAAUUAUAUGAUCGUAGAAAAUCGAUUAUCUGACAUACGAUUUGGUAUCGAUACUGUCACAAUCGGCUGUCAUCCUUCAAAAUUUCAUUUUAUAACCAAAAAAUUUCAAUCCAUAGUAAAUAACUACAUAAUUUAUAUAAUUAAAAAAUAUAUUAAAAAUGAGCAAUACCAACGGAAAUCCUCCACGCAAAAAUUAUACUGAGAGAGAGAGAGAAAUGUUUGCUGUUGGAAAUAAUUGGAAAAUACAAGCAUAUUAAAUUGAAAACAAAUAAUGUACCAAUGCUAUGUCCACCAACCAAAACAAUGAAACCUGGGAAAAAAUAGCGCUGAAUUUCCCAGAACUCCCAAGCAGCUGAACACUGCAUAUAUAAACUUAAAAAGGGUCACUAGCCAAAAAGUAGCAGAGGAAAAUAUUCAAAAAUAUAAUGAGCAGAAGGUUUUGGACCAGUUGAAGAGAGACCAAACUGCGGACAAAAAAGACAUACUUGCAACAGGUGGUGGCACAUUUAGGCCUCGUCUCACAGAUGUAGGGGCACAAAUGUUGAGUUUGAUUGGCAAUCAAAUCCAACCUUUACCCAACAGUUGUGACAGUGCAUCUGGUUUCUUCACAUCUGUUGCACAAGACAGUCAAGUGGAAGUAGAUUACCUACAAUUGGAAGACACAUAGCAGACGUCCAGUGUACCCUCUACUUCCACUGUGCUGCUCAGUACACCCACGACAACUGCUGUCCUGCCCAAGAAGACAGCCAAGAUGUCUCAAGCUCGUUCAAAAAAUAAAAAAGUAAAAGAUGUAGGGAGCGAAACCCUUAAUGUAUCUUUUACAAAAAAAAUUGAAACAGCAAGACUAGAAAAAAGAAGUAAGAUAGUAUUUUUCAACAAGAAAAAAAGAAAUUUUAGAAGUAGAGCUUCAAAUAAAAAAAUUCGGUCUCAAUAAAUUAUUCGGUAAUAGUGGUUAGGUAUGUACCUAAUAAAGUAAUUUUAAAUAAAAAUUGUAAUUUCUUUAAAUAAUAAAAUUAAUAAAAAAUG
rnacentral:lncRNA from 1 species